AACGAACGCUGGCGGCAUGCCUAACACAUGCAAGUCGAACGAGACCUUCGGGACUAGUGGCGCACUGGUGCGUAACGCGUCGGAACCUUCCCUUAGGUUCGGAAUACCUCCCCGAAAGGGGUGCUCCUACCGGAUAAUGUCUUCGGACCCAAGAUUUAUCGCCUUUGGAUGGGCCCGCGUUUGAUUAUCUAGUUGGUAGGGUAAAAGCCUACCAAGGAGACGAUGCAUAGCUGGUCUGAGAGGAUGAUCAGCCACACUGGGUCUGAGACCCGGCCAAGGCUAAUAAGGGAGGAAGAAGUGGAGAAGAGUGGAAAAGGGGCGAAAGACUGAGCCAGCAAUGACGGGUGAGAGAUGAAGGCCUUAGGGUAGUAAGGCUCUUUUACCCGGGAUGAUAAUGACAGUACCGUGAGAAUAAGAACCGGCUAACUCCGUG
rnacentral:rRNA from 1 species